GUCUGGAGGAGCAAGAUGCAGGGCUAGGCAAAGGGGCUCGACCUGGGUGAGUAGAAGUCUGAGGGGAGUGGGGAACCCCCACCCCUCCCCAAAGACUAAGAACUCUGAGCCUUUGCCUCGGUUCCAGAUGUAAGCGCCAGCUGGCACAGGGCGCUCAAGCGAAGCUGCAGCUGGCACUGAUCCGGGCGGGAGCUGUCACACCCCCUGCGCUGCCCGCCCCUUCCCCUCCCCUGGACAGGCCGAGGGGGCGGGGAAGAGGCACAGGCUUUACGGUAACAGCCGAGGGCCCACACCUCCCUGGGCCUCAUUUCCAGUGCCACACAGAUGGCGAGCACUUCGUCUCACUCAUGCCUGCUUCCGAGUGGACAGAGACUGUGACCUGGGACGGCGAUUUCAGUGGCGCCCGAUAAUUGCUCAAGACAUUAAUGAGGGUUUAGAAGGCACAGGCCCCGCCCCCAGCGUUCAAGGACUCUUCCCUUACUUAGCCCAUUCUCUUCUCCUUUCCCACUGCUUGGGAGAUUGGGGGGGGGGGGUGCUAAAUCCAGCACAACUAAGUCCAUUUCCACCCAGAACUGAUUUCUUGAUGCGAGAAUUUUAAUCAUCAUUAAAAAACCCGAAUUUCACUGCGUGUGUGUCUCAACGGCUUUUCUCUCCCAGGGCCGUUUCAGCAUGAACGUUUUAACUACUCCAAUUCUGAUACCAUCUUACUGGCAUGACACGGAAAAUCCGAACUUUGAAUAAGCACUCCAGGUCAUCUGUGGCUCCCACUCUUUGAGACACGCUAGUGAAGCUUUCACUGCCCCCCUGAGGAAAGAAGGGAACCUGGGAAGGAGUCCUGCCCACCACUCACGUUCUUAGAACUUGGAACAAUGACUUGGAAACUUGGCCUAGAAGGAUAAGAAAUAGUCUCAGGAAUGUUGUGGGGACAGGAAUUGUGGUUGGGGGUGCCGAGGUGGCACUCAGGAUACCAGAUCUGGCUUAGAAGGUCUUGCAGAAGAGUUCCCUGGAACUGGCUGUGGAGUGGGAAAGUCCCUGUUUCCUACUCCCGUUGUCCCCUCUUAGGGCAGGAGGGAGCGAUGCUGAGGGAUGAGGCAGGAGGACACCUGCUUAUCUGUUGAUCUAACCAUGUGCCUGCCCCUGCUUCCUGUCUAGUGACGCUCCUGUCCAGGCUGUCUGGCUCUGCUUUACCUAAGGGGAAAAGCUCUGGGUGCCUUUGGAGGUAUUUUAGAGACAAGAUGCACCUUGAAUGAGGACAGCAUGAUCCCCACAGACCACCGUCCCUCGGUGGAUGAAAAGUCUAAGUGACCUGAGUGUCACAUUCACCCUUCCUGACUGACAUGCAAUGUGACGGCUAAUGCCCCUGUCGCCACACCUUCUCCUUGAUGGCCUGGACCUUCAAACUGGGGCUCCAACCCUUUCCUACACUGCUUUUGUUAGUUAAUACACAGGAAGCACCUGAGAAAGUCAUUCAAACGUCAGCAGCGACUGCCCCAAACUCACUGGCCCCAUCUUGCUCUCAUUCCCUCUGUCCUAGGAAGCCACAAUGCUGGAUUUUGUGCUUACCUCGUCACCAGCGACCUGAGCCACCAAAAGAAUUAGAUAGCCCUUCUUGGCAGGAGUCAGGUCUUCUACCACCUGCCCAUGCAGUGGGUCUUCCCGGGAUUGAUAGACGGGACCUAGCCAGUGCAAUUACUGCUUGUUAGAUGUUUCACUGAGGCUGAGGGCCACGGGACAGGGAAGGAUGUCUGAAGAAGACAUCCAGGCAGAUGGGCCAUCUUGGAGGUGAGCAUGCCAGGUCCUGUUGCAGUAUCCACCCUCCCCAACUGCCAUUACAUGCCUGGUAGGUGUCUUAGACAGAGAAAUAAUAAUUAUACUUAACAGGCACUAGGUCCUGUUUUUAAUAUACUUCAUUUAUAUUCUUUUAAUUGUCACAACAACCCUGUGAAAUGACAUUACCAUUAUCCCAUUUCUCAGAUGAGGAAGCUGACGCUCUCCAAGAUGUUACAUAAUGUGCUCAAGACCUUCCAUCUCGAAAGUGCUGGAGCCCUGAGGGAUUCUACCCAAAGGGCCAUUGAAUCUGUGUAGUCCUACUCUAGAAACAUUAGGAAAGCUCCUACAAAGACAAAAGCCCACAUCUGGAGCCAUGCUCCCAACACUGCCAUUCUGGCUCUGGUGGUCAGAGAGGACCAGACAAGGGAUGUGAGAGGCACAUCAAAUCCACUUGAUAUAGGCUGUCCCUUAAAGUGAGCUUCUGCUGGAAUACAAGUCCCCUAGGACCCGCUGUCUCUUGGGUAUAUGGUGGUUCUCCUGGUGACUAGGUGUGGAAGUAGGAAAUCUGGGGUGGGCGGGGAGUGGCUGAGAACCAGGCUUUGACUCCGGACUGUGUCUCUUCCAGUUAGGCCUCUUGGUUGACUUUGCACACACUGAGCCCUCAGCUUCCUGGAUUUCUGCUGGAACCUUAAACAUGCCCAACACUCUCUUCCUGCCCCAGGGAGCUCCUCCUCCAGCUAGCUUUGCCUCUUGGCUCCGGGAGUCCUGCCAGCCGCUAAGCAAGAACGCUGUAAGGUAGUACCCUUCUCCUACAGCCAAUCAGGCACCUAGGCGGUUGGUUCAGCCAAUAGCACGCCUCUCCUUUCCCCACUCCUGCUGCUACCACCGUGAGUGGCAGCCCACUUAUCUUAGCAUUCGCUCUCUCAGGAAAACCACUCUGCUGAGGGAACUGGAACAUAGAAAGGUGAAGUAAUCUGCCCAAGGUCACACUGACAGCAAACUGUAGAGCCAUACUUGGGCACGUAAUGACAGCCCAUGUUCCCAUCUACUAUCAACCACCUCUCCCAUCCCUGAUUGUUGCCUCUGCCUCACCUCCCAUCAUCCUCUCAGUGUGGUGCCUUAGCAUCAUUACUAACAAUCUUGAAUUCGUUUGACAUUUGCUGGAGUUGUCAGGAACUGUGCUGUAAAACCGGGUAGCUGAUGCCACCCCCAAACUCUGGGCACAGGCUGGUGGGGUCGCCCAGCUGAUAGAGUGCUGGUCUGGCAUGCGCAAAGCUCCAGAAACCAUCGCCAGCAGCAAAUAAAUGGUGGUGGUACAUGCCUGUAAUCCCAGCACUGGAGACGUGGGGCAAUAGAAUAAGGGGGCCAAAGUUGUCAUCAGCUAUAGAGCAAGUUCAAGGUCAACCUGGACUACAAGAGACUGCCAGAGAGAGGGUGGGGAAAACAGAGAGAGAGUCAGAUAAAACCCAACCAACUAAGACUUUCGGAACAUAACAUCCAGUGGGGUUAUCUUUCUGUCUCCCUCACCAGCACAGUAUGUGGCAUAAAUAGUUGCUUGCGUCGUGAUUCUGGAAGGAGAUGAAGUCAAGGGGAACUCUGGAAAUCAGAUGCCGCCUGCCACGGACCUGCGCUGUGCAGAUGUGGGUCGGUGAGAAGCGUUGAUCCUGUCGGUUUAUUUUCAAGGUGUUGCCUUCCUCCGCGUUCCUUACUCCUUCACAAGCCUUCGUCACAGCGGUGGAGGUGGAAGAAGCUGUUAACGCGUGGCCUUCAGUGGAACUGCAGAAAAGAGAGAGGCCCUGAUCAGAGACCAGGGGAGGUGCAAGGAUGGAAACCAGAGAAGGAAGCAGAGAACCAAAGGGAUGUCCACAAAUCCAACCGAGAGACCGCCACAGACGACUUUGCCUGGGAGGGAGAGCGGCCUCAGUUAUUCAGACUUCACGUUAGGACAACAAGGACUGCCUCCUGCUCCCCAGCCCCUCCCUCUUCCUCCUUCUCUUCCUCGGGGUUUGUUACCUUCAGGGGAAGGGGUGGGCCAGUCAGAUGCUCCCCAUAGACACAUUGCAGGAGUGGCCAGAAUUCUGGCCUGAUCCCUUGACUACACAGACACUUCAAGCCUCCAUGGAAGUGCACUCCCAAAUGGGCCUGGGAGUCAUUACAAACCGCAGCCACUGCCCAGGUGCUUCCCCUGCAGGUGUCCUACCUGCAUCGGCGUUGGCACUAACUGGUUUUCCUGUGUCAGCUUGACACAAGCUGGAGUCAUCAGAGAGGAGGGAGCCUCAGCUGAGGAAAGGCCUCCUUGAGAUCCAGCCAUAAAGCAUUUUCUCAACUAGUGAUCAAUGGGAGAGGGCCCAGCCCAUGUGAGUGGUGCCAUCCCUGGGCUAGUGGUUCCGGGUUCCAUAAGCAUGAAGGUUUAGGAAGCCAUGGGGAGCAAGCCAGUAAGUAGCAUCCCUCCAUGGCCUCUGCAUUAGCUCCUUCCCUCCAGAUUCCUGCCCUGUUUGAG